AGGACAGAGGGAUGGAUAGAGGGAGGAAUGGAUGUAAGGAGGAAUGGAUGGAGGGAGGGAUGGAUGGAUGUAAGGAGAGGUGGGUGGAUGGAGGGAGGGAGGGAGGGAGGGAGGAAUAGAGGGAGGGAGGGAUGGAUGGAUGCAUGGAAGGAUGGAUGAAUGGAGGGAUGGACAGAUGGAUGGGGGUAUGGAUGGAUGGAUGGACAGACGGAUGGACGGACGGAGGGACGGCAGGAUGGAGAUACAGACGGCCACCCAUACAGCCGGUGCUGAGGACGCAGGCCGUGGUGUCCCCUGCACACACAGCGCUGCUCUGCCCCCCCUCCCAUCCCCCCCCCCCAGCUGACAGCAGCUCCUCGCUAAUUACCGCCCCUUUAAUCCAAUCAAGGCUCCCUCGACCCGCCGAGGCCGAGGCAGCCCUUAAUUACCUCAUCUUUCCUAUCGGCCUAACGAGGGGCAACGGGAAGGAAACACUUCUGGGAUCUCUGUCUGCUCCCAGAUGUCGUUUGGCUCCGCGUUGCUGACACUUGUUGUGCACGCACGGGGCCGUUUGCACGGGGCUGUUUGCACGGAGCACUUUGCACGGAGCACUUUGCACAGGGCUGUUUGCACGGGGUUGUUUGCAUGCAGCUGUUUGCACGGAGCUGUCGUUUAAAUGGAGCUGUUUGCACAGAGCAGCAUGCACAGGGCUGUUGCACGGAGCUGUUUGCACGGAUAGCAUGCACACAGCUGUUGCACGGAGCAGUUUGCACAGGGCCACUUACACAGGCCUGUUGCACGGGGCUGUUGCACAGGCAGCAUGCAUGGGGCUGCUGCACAAGGCUGUCUGCACAAGGCUGCUGUUUGCACGGGGCUGUUGCACGGGGGUGCUGUUUGCACGGGGUCAUUUGCACGAGGCUGCUGUUUGCACAAGGCCGUUUGCACAAGGCUGCUGUACAAGGCUGCUGUUUGCACAGGGCUGUUGCACAGUGCUGCUGUUUGCACAGGGUCGUUUGCACAAGGCUGUUUGCUCAGGGCCAUUUGCACAAAGCUGCCCUUUGCACAAGGCUGUUUGAACAAGGCUGCACAGAGCCAUUUGCACAAGGUUGCUGUUUUUGCACAGGGCUGCCGUUUGCACAAAGCCAUUUGCACAAGGCUGUUUGCACAAGGCCGUUUGCACAAGGCUGCCGUUUGCACAAGGCUGCCGUUUGCACAAGGCUGCUGUUUUUGCACAAGGCUGUUUGCACAGGGCUGCGGUUUGCACAGGGCCAUUCGCACAAGGCUGCCCUUUGCACAAGACCAUUUGCACAAGGCUGUUUGCUCAGGGCCGUUUGCACAAGGCUGCCUUUUGCACAGAGCCAUUUGCACAAGGCUGCCUUUUGCACAAGGCUGCCUUUUGCACAGAGCCAUUUGCACAACACCAUUUUGCACAAGGCUGCCUUUUGCACGAGGCUGUUUGUUUGCACAGAGCCAUUUGCACAACACCAUUUUGCACAAGGCUGCCUUUUGCAUGAGGCUGUUUGCACAGAGCCAUUUGCACAGCGCUGCCGUUUGCACGAGGCCGUUUGCACGAGGCUGCUGUUAGCACAGGGCCGUUUGCACGAGGCUGCCGUUUGCACGAGGCCGUUUGCACGCCGCCCCACGUCCCCAUGCCCGGAGUGGGGCCGCAGCCAAGCUCCCUUCCUGUUGACGUCCCGCUGUCAGCGCGGCUCAAGGACUUCCCGGCACGGAACAUCGCGGCCCCGCCGGCGUCCACCCCACCCCACAGCCCAUACAGGGGUCAUGGCCCCACGCAGCCCUAUAACCACAUCCUAUAUCCUAUAG
rnacentral:lncRNA from 1 species